AAGGAUUAGUUAAAAUAACAUUAGUAUGUCAUGCUGAAAUUACUGAAUCUAUCAGUAUCCUUU
rnacentral:tRNA from 1 species